UACGAAGGGGGCUAGCGUUGCUCGGAAUCACUGGGCGUAAAGCGCACGUAGGCGGCUUCUUAAGUCAGGGGUGAAAUCCUGGGGCUCAACCCCAGAACUGCCCUUGAUACUGAGGAGCUUGAGUCCGGGAGAGGUGAGUGGAACUCCGAGUGUAGAGGUGAAAUUCGUAGAUAUUCGGAAGAACACCAGUGGCGAAGGCGGCUCACUGGCCCGGUACUGACGCUGAGGUGCGCCAGCGUGGGGAGCACACAGG
rnacentral:rRNA from 1 species